rnacentral:rRNA from 1 species
GAUGAACGCUGGCGGCGUGCUUAACACAUGCAAGUCGAGCGAAGCGGCGGACGGGUGAGUAACGCGUAGGCAACCUCCCAUACAAAGGGAUAGCAUUUGGAAACGAAUAUUAAUACCUUAUGGUAUGGGAUGGGCCUGCGUCUGAUUAGCUAGUUGGUGAGGUAACGGCUCACCAAGGCGACGAUCAGUAGCCGACCUGAGAGGGUGAACGGCCACAUUGGAACUGAGACACGGUCCAAACUCCUACGGGAGGCAGCAGUGGGGAAUAUUGCACAAUGGGGGAAACCCUGAUGCAGCAACGCCGCGUGAACGAUGAAGGCCUUUGGGUCGUAAAGUUCUGUUCUAGGUGAUGCAGUAACCUAGGAGAAAGCCCCGGCUAACUCCGUGCCAGCAGCCGCGGUAAUAC